UAGAGUUUUAUGCUCAUGUCUGUGAUCUGAGCCGAUAGCAGUGGCUCACGCCCAUCUCUGGAGCUUGUUUAAGUGGUGCUCUGCCUUCUGUGGGCAGACGAGGAAGGAAUCCCCUCUCCUCGUGCACCCUGAAACAAUGGUCUCUUGCCUCUUAGGCAGGUCCAGGCUUUUUCCUGGAGUCCCUCCGGCUAGCUGUGGUGCACUAACCCUGUCAGGCUGUCUUCAUGCAGCCAACUCCAGUCUUCUCCUUGGAGUCUGACUUCCGAAGCCUGAGCCUCAGCUCCCAGCCCCGACCCAUCCUGGUGGGUGAGCAGAAAAGCCUCUCAAGCUGGCCUAAGUAAAUGACCAGGAGAAACCAAAAUAUCACCUUAGUCUGGAUUUAUUUCUUUCACCUGAAUAUGAGACACUGGUGUUUUGAAAGUUAAUUUAGAAUCAUGCAGUAUGCAAUGGACACACAGAUGUCAACAAGGGACAAGUUUUCCUAAGAAUGGGAUGUUAGAAGGAGGUCUUAGAUAGUGGUCACUUGGUCUUGGUCAGAAGGCCCUUGAGCUCUUUGCAGAGGAAAAACCAUGUGAGGACAUAACCAGCAAGAGGGCCCUCACCAACAACUCGACCAUGCUGGCACCCUGAUCUUGGACUCUCAGCCUCUGGA